UGCCAGCCGCCGCGGUAAUACGGAGGGGGUUAGCGUUGUUCGGAAUUACUGGGCGUAAAGCGCGCGUAGGCGGACUAUUAAGUCUGAUGUGAAAGCCCGGGGCUCAACCCCGGAAGUGCAUUGGAAACUGGCGAACUUGAGUACGGGAGAGGAAAGUGGAAUUCCGAGUGUAGGGGUGAAAUUCGUAGAUAUUCGGAGGAACACCAGUGGCGAAGGCGACCACCUGGUACGGUACUGACGCUGAGAUGCGAAAGCGUGGGGAGCAAACAGGAUUAGAUA
rnacentral:rRNA from 1 species